rnacentral:rRNA from 1 species
AUACGGAGGGUGCAAGCGUUGUUCGGAAUUACUGGGCGUAAGGCGCGCGUAGGCGGUCUGUUAUGUCAGAUGUGAAAGUCCUCGGCUCAACCGGGGAAGUGCAUUUGAAACUGGCAGACUUGAGUACUGGAGGGGGUGGUGGAAUUCCCGGUGUAGAGGUGAAAUUCGUAGAUAUCGGGAGGAAUACCGGUGGCGAAGGCGACCACCUGGCCAGAUACUGACGCUGAGGUGCGAAAGCGUGGGGAGCAAACAGGAUUAGAAACCCCGGUAGUCC